AUGAGAUUUUUGGCGUGUGACAGUGGGUUUCCACUGUAACAGCCACCCAAUUUAUUAAAAAAAAAAUCAAAAUAAAAAAAACGGGAGGAGAAACCCCCCAUUUUCUCUUUUCUCUCCUCUCCUUCCCUCUCUUCUUCUUCUUUCUUUUUCCGGUGACCGGCCGGCGACCUCCCGAGCAGCUCCCCACCCGGCCGGCGACGGCCACAACCACCAAAAACGGCGGCAAGAGAGAGAGAAGAGAGAGAAAACGUGCGCACAGUGGGCAGCGACUUUUCGGGCCGAUUCCGGCUUCAUCCGACGUCCGAUCGAGGCGAUUCAGGUGGCGUUGGAAAGCUUGUUCCGAGAGCUUUCUUUUGAUACCAAUUUUACAGUAAAUGGAGGUCGGAUGAGUGAGAUAUGGAGGAGAGAAGUUUCGGGUUUUUCAAGCUUUUCCAUCAGAUCUACGACGAUCCGACAUUUAGAUCGACGAUCCGAGACCACCUAUGGACUGAGGAAGAGGAGAGGAACAUGGUGGUAUGAUCAGAUCCGGCAAAUGUCGCCGGCGACCGACGGUGGCUCCGGUGGGCUAUGGAGAUGAUUCAACUUCUAGAGGCUUCCUCAUAAAUUUUUGGAAUUUUUAAGACACAGAUAAACUUCGGGUGAUCGAGGUCAGCUAUUUUUCUGCAUCCAGCAGCCACAAUAGUCAUCGGUGUACUGUGAGUAAAAUAUUAAUUUUAAUUUUAAUUUCGAUAUUAUUAUAUAUUUAAGCAUGCCCAUGCAUCACUUAUAUGUAUGUAUCUAUGUAGUUAAACUCUAGGCACAUUUUAUGUUGCAUUCACAACUGUUAAAGUGCCAUGGAUGUUGUUGUGGUAAUUUGGAGCAGUGGGCGUGCGUUAGCGUGCGUGUGAUGUGGUGUGGACUAUGGAUAGGACGGGUAGACACGGCUUGAGAUCUUCGCUGGGACCCGAUCCUUCGGGGUAGUCACGGCUUGAGUUCUUCGCUGGGACCCCGAUUUGGUUUAUUAAGCGAAAGUCUGGCUUGAGUUCUUUGCUGGCACCAGGUUGGAUUUAAGAGAGCUGUAUAGGGGAUCAGCUCCCAUAUAUUAUGAUUGAUAUUACUGGGUGUGUGAGUGCUCCAAAUUACCUUUUUGCUGUUAUGAUGUGAAUUUAUUGCUGAUGCUGCAUUUCACUCUACAGGGUGCAUUAGUUUUAGUUAGUUAUAGAGAUUAUGGUUAAAAUUGAUAUUUUACUCUCUGAGUCGAACGCUCACUCCUGUUCAAUAUUUUUUCAGGCCACAGGAGGAGUUAUUUUACAGAGCAACCUGUUUCAUUCCUCGCAGGUUUAGCGUCGAUUAUUUAAUUGUUUUACUAUCUUUUCUAAAUUUAAAAUCUAGAACUCCGCAUGUAUUAGUAAUAGUGUGGACCUUGUUAGAAAUUGUGUUAAAUUUAAAUUUUUGAGAUUAAUAAAUGAAGAUUUGUAUGGUAUUUAAACCGUUUGUAAAUGAGGUAAUAGGGUUGAGCUGGGCUCCCCUGAUUUUAGUUUCUGAAAAUUUCUGGGCUAAGUUGGCUCGAAAUGAAAAUAUAACAGUUUGAUUUAAA